ensembl:rRNA 5S_rRNA 5S ribosomal RNA
GUCUACGGCCAUACCACCCUGAACGCACCCGAUCUCGUCUGAUCUCGGAAGCUAAGCAGGGCUGGGCCUGGUUAGUACUUGGAUGGGAGAAAACUGAAGCCCAGAGAGGGAAGUGGUUUGAUCGAAGUCA